GAUGAAGAACGUAGCGAAAUGCGAUAAGUAAUGUGAAUUGCAGAAUUCGGUGAAUCAUCGAAUCUUUGAACGCACAUUGCGCCCGCCAGUAUUCUGGCGGGCAUGCCUGUUCGAGCGUCAUUUCAACCCUCAGGCCCCCAGUGCCUGGUGUUGGGGAUCGGCCCAGCCUUCCUGUAAGGCCGCCGGCCCCGAAAUCUAGUGGCGGUCUCGCUGUAGUCCUCCUCUGCGUAGUAGCACAACCUCGCAGUUGGAACGCGGCGGUGGCCAUGCCGUUAAACACCCCACUUCUGAAAGUUGACCUCGGAUCAGGUAGGAAUACCCGCUGAACUUAAGCAUAUCAAUAAGCGGAGGA
rnacentral:misc_RNA from 1 species